GAUGAAGAACGUAGCGAAAUGCGAUAAGUAGUGUGAAUUGCAGAAUUCAGUGAAUCAUCGAAUCUUUGAACGCACAUUGCGCCCCUUGGUAUCCCGAGGGGCAUGCCUGUUCGAGCGUCAUUUCACCACACAAGCCUGGCUUGGUGUUGGGCGACGUCCUCUUUGGGGACGCGCCUCGAAACGCUCGGCGGCGUGGCACCGGCUUUAAGCGUAGCAGAAUCUUUCGCUUUGGAAGUCGGGGCCCCGUCUGCCGGAAGACCUGCUCGCAAGGUUGACCUCGGAUCAGGCAGGGAUACCCGCUGAACUUAAGCAUAUCAAUAAGCGGAGGA
rnacentral:misc_RNA from 1 species